AAAACUUUAUAAAAUUGAUUUCUAAUCAAAUUUGAGCGAUUAAAUUCGUUAAGUUUUA
rnacentral:tRNA from 1 species